UUUACCUGGCUCAGGAUGAACGCUGGCGGCGUGCUUAACACAUGCAAGUCGAACGAACCUUCGGGUUAGUGGCGGACGGGUGAGUAACGCGUGAGAAUCUGCCCUCAGGAGGGGGAUAACGGCUGGAAACGGCCGCUAAUACCCCAUAUGCCGAGAGGUGAAAUGAAUUUCGCCUGAGGAUGAGCUCGCGUCUGAUUAGCUAGUUGGUGGGGUAAAGGCCUACCAAGGCAUCGAUCAGUAGCUGGUCUGAGAGGAUGAUCAGCCACACUGGGACUGAGACACGGCCCAGACUCCUACGGGAGGCAGCAGUGGGGAAUUUUCCGCAAUGGGCGAAAGCCUGACGGAGCAACGCCGCGUGAGGGAUGAAGGCCUCUGGGCUGUAAACCUCUUUUAUCAAGGAAGAAGAUCUGACGGUACUUGAUGAAUAAGCCACGGCUAAUUCCGUGCCAGCAGCCGCGGUAAUACGGGAGUGGCAAGCGUUAUCCGGAAUUAUUGGGCGUAAAGCGUCCGCAGGCGGUCUUUUAAGUCUGCUGUUAAAGCGUGGAGCUUAACUCCAUUUCGGCAGUGGAAACUGGAAGACUAGAGUGUGGUAGGGGCAGAGGGAAUUCCCGGUGUAGCGGUGAAAUGCGUAGAUAUCGGGAAGAACACCAGUGGCGAAGGCGCUCUGCUGGGCCAUAACUGACGCUCAUGGACGAAAGCCAGGGGAGCGAAAGGGAUUAGAUACCCCUGUAGUCCUGGCCGUAAACGAUGAACACUAGGUGUCGGGGGAAUCGACCCCCUCGGUGUCGUAGCCAACGCGUUAAGUGUUCCGCCUGGGGAGUACGCACGCAAGUGUGAAACUCAAAGGAAUUGACGGGGGCCCCGCACAAGCGGUGGAGUAUGUGGUUUAAUUCGAUGCAACGCGAAGAACCUUACCAGGGUUUGACAUCCUGCGAAUCUCUUGGAAACGAGAGAGUGCCUUCGGGAACGCAGUGACAGGUGGUGCAUGGCUGUCGUCAGCUCGUGUCGUGAGAUGUUGGGUUAAGUCCCGCAACGAGCGCAACCCACGUCGUUAGUUGCCAGCAUUCAGUUGGGCACUCUAGCGAGACCGCCGGUGAUAAACCGGAGGAAGGUGUGGAUGACGUCAAGUCAUCAUGCCCCUUACAUCCUGGGCUACACACGUACUACAAUGCUACGGACAAAGGGCAGCAAGCUCGCGAGAGUUAGCAAAUCCCAUAAACCGUGGCUCAGUUCAGAUCGUAGGCUGCAACUCGCCUACGUGAAGGAGGAAUCGCUAGUAAUCGCAGGUCAGCAUACUGCGGUGAAUACGUUCCCGGGCCUUGUACACACCGCCCGUCACACCAUGGAAGUUGGCCAUGCCCGAAGUCGUUACUCCAACCCUUGUGGAGGAGGACGCCGAAGGUGGGGCUGAUGACUGGGGUGAAGUCGUAACAAGGUAGCCGUACCGGAAGGUGCGGCUGGAUCACCUCCUAA
rnacentral:rRNA from 1 species